GAUGAACGCUGGCGGCGUGCCUAAUACAUGCAAGUCGAGCGAACAGACGAGGAGCUUGCUCCUCUGACGUUAGCGGCGGACGGGUGAGUAACACGUGGAUAACCUACCUAUAAGAGUGGGAUAACUUCGGGAAACCGGAGCUAAUACCGGAUAAUAUAUUGAACCGCAUGGUUCAAUAGUGAAAGACGGUUUUGCUGUCACUUAUAGAUGGAUCCGCGCCGCAUUAGCUAGUUGGUAAGGUAACGGCUUACCAAGGCGACGAUGCGUAGCCGACCUGAGAGGGGGGUCGGCCCACUGGGACCUGGGACCCGGCCCAACCCCCCACGGGGGGCAGCGUUAGGGAAUCUUCCCGAAUGGGCGAAAGCCUGACGGAGCAACCCCGCGUGAGUGAUGAAGGUCUUCGGAUCUUAAACCUCUUUUUUUAGGAAAGAAAAAAUGGGUAAAUAACUUUGACCGUUUUGGCGGUACCUAAUCAGAAAGCCCCGGCUAACUACGU
rnacentral:rRNA from 1 species